ensembl:miRNA
GAUCAGGGUCCCUCGUGGGUCUUGGGGAUCCCAGACGAGCCCCCAAAUGUUAUGCCCAGAUUUCAAGAUCCCCCAAAAGACACCACCAGGGAGCGCUGAGUCCAAUGCAAAAGCAUAGAGC